rnacentral:rRNA from 1 species
GAUGAACGCUGGCGGCGUGCCUAGUACAUGCAAGUCGAGCGAACGGACGAGAAGCUUGCUUCUCUGAUGUUAGCGGCGGACGGGUGAGUAACACGUGGAUAACCUACCUAUAAGACUGGGAUAACUUCGGGAAACCGGAGCUAAUACCGGAUAAUAUUUUGAACCGCAUGGUUCAAAAGUGAAAGACGGUCUUGCUGUCACUUAUAGAUGGAUCCGCGCUGCAUUAGCUAGUUGGUAAGGUAACGGCUUACCAAGGCAACGAUGCAUAGCCGACCUGAGAGGGUGAUCGGCCACACUGGAACUGAGACACGGUCCAGACUCCUACAGGAGGCAGCAGUAGGGAAUCUUCCGCAAUGGGCGAAAGCCUGACGGAGCAACGCCGCGUGAGUGAUGAAGGUCUUCGGAUCGUAAAACUCUGUUAUUAGGGAAGAACAUAUGUGUAAGUAACUGUGCACAUCUUGACGGUACCUAAUCAGAAAGCCACGGCUAACUACGUG